GACGAACGCUGGCGGCGUGCUUAGCACAUGCAAGUCGAACGGUAAGGCCCUUCGGGGUACACGAGUGGCGAACGGGUGAGUAACACGUGGGUGAUCUGCCCUGCACUUCGGGAUAAGCCUGGGAAACUGGGUCUAAUACCGGAUAGGACCACUGCCUGCAUGGGUGGUGGUGGAAAGCUUUUGCGGGGUGGGAUGGGCCCGCGGCCUAUCAGCUUGUUGGUGGGGUGAUGGCCUACCAAGGCGACGACGGGUAGCCGGCCUGAGAGGGUGACCGGCCACACUGGGACGGAGAUACGGCCCAGACUCCUACGGGAGGCAGCAGUGGGGAAUAUUGCACAAUGGGCGCAAGCCUGACGCAGCGACGCCGCGUGAGGGAUGACGGCCUUCGGGUUGUAAACCUCUUUCAGCACCGACGAAGCGCAAGUGACGGUAGGUGCAGAAGAAGGACCGGCCAACUACGUGCCAGCAGCCGCCGCGG
rnacentral:rRNA from 1 species